CACGUAGGGGGCAAGCGUUGUCCGGAUUUAUUGGGCGUAAAGAGCUCGUAGGCGGCUUAGUAAGUCGGGUGUGAAACCUCCAGGCUCAACCUGGAGACGCCACCCGAUACUGCUGUGGCUAGAGUCCGGUAGGGGAGCGUGGAAUUCCCGGUGUAGCGGUGAAAUGCGCAGAUAUCGGGAGGAACACCAAUGGCGAAGGCAGCUCGCUGGGACGGUACUGACGCUGAGGCGCGAAAGCGUGGGGAGCAAACAGG
rnacentral:rRNA from 1 species